GUCGUGGGGCAGCACAGGUAGCAAUACUGGGUGGCGACCGGCAAACGGGUGCGGAACACGUACGCAACCUUCCUUUAAGCGGGGAAUAGCCCAGGGAAACUUGGAUUAAUACCCCAUAUUACAAUUGAGUGGCAUCACUCGAUUGUUAAAGCUCCGGCACUUAAAGAUGGGCGUGCGGCUGAUUAGGUAGUUGGCGGGGUAACGGCCCACCAAGCCGACGAUCAGUAACUGGUGUGAGAGCACGACCAGUCACACGGGCACUGAGACACGGGCCCGACUCCUACGGGAGGCAGCAGUAAGGAAUAUUGGUCAAUGGACGCAAGUCUGAACCAGCCAUGCCGCGUGGAGGAUGAAGGCCCUCUGGGUUGUAAACUUCUUUUAUUGGGGAAGAAACCGGUUUUUUCUAAAGCCGUUGACGGUACCCAUUGAAUAAGCACCGGCUAACUCCGUGCCAGCAGCCGCGGUAAUACGGAGGGUGCAAGCGUUAUCCGGAUUCACUGGGUUUAAAGGGUGCGUAGGUGGGCAGGUAAGUCAGUGGUGAAAUCUCUAAGCUUAACUUAGAAACUGCCGUUGAUACUAUCUGUCUUGAAUGUAGUGGAGGUGAGCGGAAUAUGUCAUGUAGCGGUGAAAUGCUUAGAUAUGACAUAGAACACCAAUUGCGAAGGCAGCUCGCUACACUAUAAUUGACACUGAUGCACGAAAGCGUGGGGAUCAAACA
rnacentral:rRNA from 1 species